AGAAAGAAGAGGCAGGGGAAGGAGGAGGAGGACUGUGCCAUUCACUGGAGUUUGUUUGUUGGCAGCAAGCUCUGAUCUAAGAAAAAGAAACUGCUGAAACCAGAGGGCUUGGUGUGAACAGGUAUUCUAGAAAUUUCACCAAAUUUGUUCUGUAGGUAAAGGGCAAUCCAUGUAAGUUUGAGGUUUCUCUCCCCCGGUGCAUUACUACAAUUUCAGGAACAAUAUUUAGUCUAAGGGCUUGUGAAUGCAUACUUUUCAAUUAAAAUAUUUGUGCUUCUAUUUCUCCUUCCAUUUAACUUGUGCUGAGUCAUUUACAGUCAGCGUCUGGUGAUGUCUGUUCUGGCUACCUUCGAGUCUCCCUAAUACGCUUUUCUUAAAGGAAUAGCACAAGGUCAAAAAUGACUUGCAGGGAACAAGGGGCAAAGGAGCUCCAGCAUUUUGGGGAACACUGAUAAAGACUUCAGUGUUUGUUUACACUGGCCAGUACAAGGGAGACCUUAGAUUCUGAUUCCAAGAAUUCCAAGAAGGCUAAAUCCGAAACUCAUUUUGCUUUAUUACAGUAGAAUUUAUAACUGAAAGUGACCUACCUUAAUAUUUCUGUUUUGCUUUCAUCUUGAUGACCCCUGUUUUGUUACAGGUUAUUAGCAGGACCCUCCGAACAGGGAUGUUCUCAAGACACCCAGAAUAGAAGCACUGUGUCAUUCAAGCAUUCCUGAUGGCUGGAGAGCUAUCCUCAAAGUGGCACUGGAAAAAAGGACACCAGCCAGGCAUAUUCGAUUAAGGACCACCCUAAUGACCUCAUUUCAACUAAAUCACCUCUGUGAAGACCCUGUCUCAAAUAAAGUCACUUUCUGAGGU
rnacentral:lncRNA from 13 species